AACGAACGCUGGCGGCAUGCCUAACACAUGCAAGUCGAACGAGAUCUUCGGGUCUAGUGGCGCACGGGUGCGUAACGCGUGGGAAUCUGCCCUUUGGUUCGGAAUAACAGUUGGAAUCGGCUGCUAAUACCGGAUGAUGACGAAAGUCCAAAGAUUUAUCGCCAGAGGAUGAGCCCGCGUAGGAUUAGCUAGUUGGUGUGGUAAAGGCGCACAAAGGCGACGAUCCUUAGCUGGUCUGAGAGGAUGAUCAGCCACACUGGGACUGAGACACGGCCCAGACUCCUACGGGAUGCAGCAGUGUGGAAUAUUGGACAAUGGGCGAAAUCCUGAUCCAGCAAUGCCGCGUGAGUGAUGAAGGCCUUAGGGUUGUAAAGCUCUUUUACCCGGGAUGAUAAUGACAGUACCGGGAGAAUAAGCUCCGGCUAACUCCGUGCCAGCCGCCGCGGUAAAAC
rnacentral:rRNA from 1 species